rnacentral:rRNA from 1 species
UUUGACAUGUACGGAAUCCUUUAGAGAUAGAGGAGUGCUCGAAAGAGAACCGUAACACAGGUGCUGCAUGGCUGUCGUCAGCUCGUGUCGUGAGAUGUUGGGUUAAGUCCCGCAACGAGCGCAACCCUUGUCAUUAGUUGCUACAUUCAGUUGGGCACUCUAAUGAGACUGCCGGUGACAAACCGGAGGAAGGUGGGGAUGACGUCAAGUCCUCAUGGCCCUUAUAGGUGGGGCUACACACGUCAUACAAUGGAUGGUACAAAGGGUCGCCAACCCGCGAGGGGGAGCCAAUCCCAUAAAGCCAUUCGUAGUCCGGAUCGCAGUCUGCAACUCGACUGCGUGAAGUCGGAAUCGCUAGUAAUCGUGGAUCAGAAUGUCACGGUGAAUACGUUCCCGGGUCUU